rnacentral:rRNA from 1 species
CCUACGGGAGGCAGCAGUGAGGAAUAUUGGUCAAUGGGCGAGAGCCUGAACCAGCCAAGUCGCGUGAGGGAGUACUGCCCUAUGGGUUGUAAACCUCUUUUGUCGGGGAGCAAAAGCCGGACGUGUCCGGCUGUGAGAGUACCCGAAGAAAAAGCAUCGGCGAACUCCGUGCCAGCAGCCGCGGUAAUACGGGGGGUGCGAGCGUUAACCGGAGUUACUGGGGUUAAAGGGGGCGCAGGCGGAUGUUUAAGUCAGCGGUCGAAUUGCGGGGCUCAACCCCAUCCAGCCGUUGAAACUGGGGACCUUGAGUGUGCGAGAAGUAUGCGGAAUGCGUGGUGUAGCGGUGAAAUGCAUAGAUAUCACGCAGAACUCCGAUUGCGAAGGCAGCAUACCGGCGCGCAACGGACGCUCAUGCACUAAAGCGUGGGUAUCGAACAGGAUUAGAUACACCUGUAGUC